GCCGAUGUGGCGAAAUUGGUAGACGCGCUACGUUCAGGUCGUAGUGUCUUCACGGACGUGCUGGUUCGAGUCCAGUCAUCGGUA
rnacentral:tRNA from 1 species